rnacentral:rRNA from 1 species
UACGUAGGGGGCGAGCGUUAUCCGGAUUUAUUGGGCGUAAGUGUGCGUAGGCGGUUUGUUAAGUCUAAGAUUAAAGCCUGAGGCUUAACCUCAGUUCGUUUUAGAAACUGGCAAACUUGAGUGUGGUAGAGGUAAGUGGAAUUUCUAGUGUAGCGGUUAAAUGCGUAGAUAUUAGAAGGAACACCAGUGGCGAAGGCGGCUUACUGGGCCAUUACUGACGCUGAGGCACGAAAGCGUGGGGAGCAAAUAG